rnacentral:rRNA from 1 species
AUCAGGUAGGGAUACCCGCUGAACUUAAGCAUAUCAAUAAGCGGAGGAAAAGAAACUAACAAGGAUUCCCCUAGUAACGGCGAGUGAAGCGGGAAGAGCUCAAAUUUGAAAUCUGGUCGCCUUCGGUGAUCCGAGUUGUAAUCUAGAGAAGUGUUUUCCGUGCUGGCUCAUGUACAAGUCCCUUGGAACAGGGCGUCAUAGAGGGUGAGAAUCCCGUACUUG